AACAUUAUCCAUAGUUCAUGCUAUGAUGAUGAAUAAAACUUCAUUAGUAAAUGCGUUUAAGGCCAAUAAUUGUCACAUAUACCACCUUAUUUCACAAAAAGAUAAAAGAUUCAUAUUGUUAUAGCAGCAAGGUUCAUCAAGUCUCAAGAUAAAAGACCCAUAUUGUUAUAGCAGCAAGGUUCAUCAAGUCUCAAGAUCACCAACAACGUUCAUGAAUUACAAAAUUCAUUUAUGAAUUACAUUUAGCUACAAAAUUC
rnacentral:lncRNA from 1 species